rnacentral:rRNA from 1 species
AAUGAUACCCCGGUAGUCCACGCCGUAAACGGUGGGCACUAGGUGUGGGCGACAUUCCACGUCGUCCGUGCCGCAGCUAACGCAUUAAGUGCCCCGCCUGGGGAGUACGGCCGCAAGGCUAAAACUUAAAGGAAUUGACGGGGGCCCGCACAAGCGGCGGAGCAUGUGGCUUAAUUCGACGCAACGCGAAGAACCUUACCAAGGCUUGACAUACACCGGAAACGUCCAGAGAUGGGCGCCCCCUUGUGGUCGGUGUACAGGUGGUGCAUGGCUGUCGUCAGCUCGUGUCGUGAGAUGUUGGGUUAAGUCCCGCAACGAGCGCAACCCUUGUCCCGUGUUGCCAGCAGGCCCUUGUGGUGCUGGGGACUCACGGGAGACCGCCGGGGUCAACUCGGAGGAAGGUGGGGACGACGUCAAGUCAUCAUGCCCCUUAUGUCUUGGGCUGCACACGUGCUACAAUGGCCGGUACAAUGAGCUGCGAUACCGCGAGGUGGAGCGAAUCUCAAAAAGCCGGUCUCAGUUCGGAUUGGGGUCUGCAACUCG